rnacentral:rRNA from 1 species
CCUACGGGUGGCAGCAGUGAGGAAUAUUGGUCAAUGGGCGCGAGCCUGAACCAGCCAAGUAGCGUGAAGGAUGACUGCCCUACGGGUUGUAAACUUCUUUUAUAAAGGAAUAAAGUGAGGCACGUGUGCCUUUUUGUAUGUACUUUAUGAAUAAGGAUCGGCUAAAUCCGUGCCAACAGCCGCGGUAAUACGGAGGAUCCGGGCGUUAUCCGGAUUUAUUUGGGUUAAAGGGAGCGUAGAUGGGUUUUUAAGUCAGUUGGGAAAGUUUGCGGCUCAACCGUAAAAUUGCAAUUGAUACUGGCAGCCUUGAGUACAGUUGAGGUAGGCGGAAUUCGUGGUGUAGCGGUGAAAUGCUUAGAUAUCACGAAGAACUCCGAUUGCGAAGGCAGCCUACUAAACUGCCACUGACAUUGAUGCUCGAAAGUGUGGGUAUCAAACAGGAUUAGAUACCCCAGUAGUC